GGCCUGGCUGGGUGGUGUGCCCCGCAAGGGGCAUCACUGCUUUCCAGUCGGGCCCUGCCUUCUGGGGGCGUGGGCGUGCUCUUCACUGGGUGCGCCCAUGACACCAGGACUUUUACUUUGAAAAAAUUAGAGUGUUUAAAGCAGGCUUACGCUUGAAUACAUUAGCAUGGAAUAAUAGAAUAGGACCGUGGUUCUAUUUUGUUGGUUUCUAGGACCGAGGUA
rnacentral:rRNA from 1 species